CCUACGGGAGGCAGCAGUGGGGAAUAUUGCACAAUGGGGGAAACCCUGAUGCAGCAACGCCGCGUGAGUGAGGAAGUAUUUCGGUAUGUAAAGCUCUAUCAGCAGGGAAUAGAAAAGAAGGUACCUGAAAAAGAAGCCCCGGCUAACUACGUGCCAGCAGCCGCGGUAAUACGUAGGGGGCAAGCGUUAUCCGGAUUUAUUGGGUGUAAAGGGUGCGUAGACGGAGAAGCAAGUUAGUUGUGAAAUCCCUCGGCUUAACUGAGGAACUGCAACUAAAACUACUUCCCUUGAGUACUGGAGAGGAAAGUGGAAUUCCUAGUGUAGCGGUGAAAUGCGUAGAUAUUAGGAGGAACACCAGUGGCGAAGGCGACUUUCUGGACAGUAACUGACGUUGAGGCACGAAAGUGUGGGGAGCGAAAGGGAUUAGAUACCCCGGUAGUC
rnacentral:rRNA from 1 species